rnacentral:rRNA from 1 species
UACGUAGGGACCAAGCGUUGUUCGGAUUUACUGGGCGUAAAGGGCGCGUAGGCGGCGCGGUAAGUCACUUGUGAAAUCUCUGAGCUUAACUCAGAACGGCCAAGUGAUACUGCAGUGCUAGAGUGUGGAAGGGGCAAUCGGAAUUCUUGGUGUAGCGGUGAAAUGCGUAGAUAUCAAGAGGAACACCUGAGGUGAAGACGGGUUGCUGGGCCAACACCGACGCUGAGGCGCGAAAGCCAGGGGAGCAAACGGA